rnacentral:rRNA from 1 species
CCCUUAGACGUUCUGGGCCGCACGCGCGCUACACUGACGAAGGCAACGAGCUUUCCUUUACCGAAAGGUACGGGUAAUCUUUUGAAACUUCGUCGUGCUGGGGAUGGAUCCUUGCAAUUAUCGAUCUUAAACGAGGAAUUCCUAGUAAGCGCAAGUCAUCAACUUGCGUUGAUUACGUCCCUGCCCUUUGUACACACCGCCCGUCGCUACUACCGAUUGAAUGGUUUAGUGAGGCCUUCGGAUCCGCGACUCGUUUUGUGGAGAAGUUGGACAAACUCAGUCAUUUAGAGGAAGUAAAAGUCGUAACA